rnacentral:rRNA from 1 species
ACGCUGGCGGCGUGCCUAAUACAUGCAAGUCGAGCGAGCUGAAUUCAAAGAUCCCUUCGGGGUGAUUUGUUGGACGCUAGCGGCGGAUGGGUGAGUAACACGUGGGCAAUCUGCCCUAAAGACUGGGAUACCACUUGGAAACAGGUGCUAAUACCGGAUAACAACAUGAAUCGCAUGAUUCAAGUUUGAAAGGCGGCGCAAGCUGUCACUUUAGGAUGAGCCCGCGGCGCAUUAGCUAGUUGGUGGGGUAAAGGCCUACCAAGGCAAUGAUGCGUAGCCGAGUUGAGAGACUGAUCGGCCACAUUGGGACUGAGACACGGCCCAAACUCCUACGGGAGGCAGCAGUAGGGAAUCUUCCACAAUGGACGCAAGUCUGAUGGAGCAACGCCGCGUGAGUGAAGAAGGUUUUCGGAUCGUAAAGCUCUGUUGUUGGUGAAGAAGGAUAGAGGCAGUAACUGGUCUUUAUUUGACGGUAAUCAACCAGAAAGUCACGGCUAACUACGUGCCAGCAGCCGCGGUAAUACGUAGGUGGCAAGCGUUGUCCGGAUUUAUUGGGCGUAAAGCGAGCGCAGGCGGAAUGAUAAGUCUGAUGUGAAAGCCCACGGCUCAACCGUGGAACUGCAUCGGAAACUGUCAUACUUGAGUGCAGAAGAGGAGAGUGGAACUCCAUGUGUAGCGGUGGAAUGCGUAGAUAUAUGGAAGAACACCAGUGGCGAAGGCGGCUCUCUGGUCUGCAACUGACGCUGAGGCUCGAAAGCAUGGGUAGCGAACAGGAUUAGAUACCCUGGUAGUCCAUGCCGUAAACGAUGAGCGCUAGGUGUUGGGGACUUUCCGGUCCUCAGUGCCGCAGCAAACGCAUUAAGCGCUCCGCCUGGGGAGUACGACCGCAAGGUUGAAACUCAAAGGAAUU